UACGUAGGGGGCAAGCGUUGUCCGGAUUUAUUGGGCGUAAAGAGCGUGUAGGCGGCCGCACAGGUCCGUUGUGAAAACUGGAGGCUUAACCUUCAGACGUCGAUGGAAACCGUGCGGCUAGAGUCCGGAAGAGGAGAAUGGAAUUCCUGGUGUAGCGGUGAAAUGCGCAGAUAUCAGGAGGAACACCGGUGGCGAAGGCGGGUCUCUGGGCCGAUACUGACGCUGAGAAGCGAAAGCAUGGGGAGCGAACAGG
rnacentral:rRNA from 1 species